AGUCAUGUAGCUCAAUGGUUAGAGCAGGACGCUUAUACCGUCAAGGUUCAGGGUUCAAGUCCCUGCAUGACUA
rnacentral:tRNA from 1 species